GCGGUGCCCGGCCCGGGGCGGGUGGGGGGUGCCUGCUGGUGGACCCACGCACCCGCUCGUCCUCUUCCCUGACGCUCUCGCGUAGCCCUCGGCUGUCCCGUGAGAGCCACGUGUUCUUUGAGGAGUGGAAGGAGAUGGAAGAGGAAAAGAGGCAGCCCUGCAAGGCCACCUGGACAAGCCAGUGCCUCGGCCCCAAGCUGGUAAAGCCUGCAGAAGGGAACAAGCGCAAGGGUGGGGCACAUGCUGUUUCCAUAGCUGCCCCUCCAUCUACUCCGGGGGCUCUGCGAACACACGAAUUGACACGGACGGGUGAGCGCAUUCGCACAGCAGGCCUCUCCAAUGACAAGCCACACCGGGUACCUUACAGCUUGCAUGUUUAUUGAACAAAUACUACUAAAAUAGCUGAAAUACACUGGGUACUUGUUGUGAGUGCAUCAGUCAAGAUCACAUUGUUUUUUUUACAAAAGCCUGCGUUGUCAGCAGCAUACAACCGCAACUCUACGUAAAUGCCACAGAUGCAGAAUACGGUUUUCUUGCUCUAUUUACACAGCUGAUAGACUUAUUCUAACCAAGGAGGGAGCGGGAAGAUGCACAAGAGACUCAGGUCAAGGGGGGAGCGAGAAGAGUAGGAAGAAGGGCGGUGCAUGCAUCUUGGGGUUAACAGUCAGGAGGGCACAGCGUGGGACCAAGCCUGCCCCGACGGGAAGAGCCAAAGACGAUUAUAUAAAAAUUAAGGUGGGCUUUCAGACUGGCUAACACAACAACAAUCCAUGAGUAGAUGGUAUUGUCUGGUUUUCUUUUUUGUUGAUCCAUUUCAUUGGGAGCAAGGACAAAAAUGUAAAGUCUACACCUUGCUUAUCAAAAACUGCCAGAAAAGAAGUGCUCUGCCUUUUUUUUUUUUUAAUUUUAUAAAGACAUUUUUUUCCAACUUGAUUUUCAGGAAAGGUGCGAAUUUGCAGAUUCCUACUCAAAUGCCAGUUUUUUGGAUUUUUUUUUCCAGAGGGCGUUUAUUUUAAAAGUUGGCCCUCUUUUUCCCCCCGAAUAUCCUUUCAAACAAAAAGAACCAAAAGAGACACCUAAAAACGCCUGUCAAAUUAUUGCUUUUCUUUCUCUAAGCUAGGCAGGCGAGGCUACCAAAAAGAAGAGAUUUGGUAAGUAAAUUACAGUUUUGUGAUUGCUCCCGCGACAGGGACUGCACGUCUGUGAGUGCCCGCCGAUGAGACGCGAGUCUCUUACUCUCUCUGGUAGCAUUCACUCAACCUACAGCGCUGAAGAAGAAAGCCACACUGAAGACACAAGGAGAACAAGUCAAUCCAGUCUAGAGAACAACAUUCAGGGAAACAGAGUACCAACACCUUCUUAGAACAUGGAAAUAAAAUAUAACUCCAUCAGAGCUACCUCGCCAAGGAGCAUGUUGAAAGUCCAAAAUAGCACCAUUCAUCAGUGUCUCAGGUCCUGUGGCAGCAUCUCGGUCACUUACCACAAGGAAACAAUGAGUUUCAAACUACUUCUAUACAUCAAAAGAGUACAUGGAUAAAAUAUAGAGAUAUACAGACAAUCGAUGAACAUAAACUACUAGGCUUGUUACAUCUAAAUGAAAAAAAAAAAAUGGGGACUCUCAGCCUCUGCGAGAAGCAUUC